UGGGAGUUGUUUUAAAGCCUUUUUCUCUUCUUCAAAUUUGUACACCACUUUCAUAAUUCCUUUCUUUUUGUAAUAAUGAAAUUUUCUCUUCACACUGCUUGUAGAAAUAGGCCAAAGGCUGAUUCAUCUUAUAUUUUUAUAUCUUCCGCAUGGUUGUUUUACUUUAUUCUAUCUUGAAUUUCAUAAUUUGCUAGUAAAAUUGGAAAAAGUUGACAUUUGGAGCUAACAUCCAUUAGAGCAUAUGCCCUACCAG
rnacentral:lncRNA from 1 species